rnacentral:rRNA from 1 species
CANGUGUAGCGGUGAAAUGCGUAGAUAUAUGGAGGAACACCAGUGGCGAAAGCGGCUCUCUGGUCUGUCACUGACGCUGAGGCUCGAAAGCGUGGGUAGCGAACAGGAUUAGAUACCCUGGUAGUNCACGCCGUAAACGAUGAGUGCUAGGUGUUAGGCCCUUUCCGGGGCUUAGUGCCGGAGCUAACGCAAUAAGCACUCCGCCUGGGGAGUACGACCGCAAGGUUGAAACUCAAAGGAAUUGACGGGGGCCCGCACAAGCGGUGGAGCGUGUGGUUUAAUUCGAAGCAACGCGAAGAACCUUACCAGGUCUUGACAUCCCGAUGCUAUUCUUAGAGAUAGGAAGUUACUUCGGUACAUCGGAGACAGGUGGUGCAUGGUUGUCGUCAGCUCGUGUCGUGAGAUGUUGGGUUAAGUCCCGCAACGAGCGCAACCCUUAUUGUUAGUUGCCAUCAUUAAGUUGGGCACUCUAGCGAGACUGCCGGUAAUAAACCGGAGGAAGGUGGGGAUGACGUCAAAUCAUCAUGCCCCUUAUGACCUGGGCUACACACGUGCUACAAUGGUCGGUACAACGAGUUGCGAGCCGGUGACGGCAAGCUAAUCUCUGAAAGCCGAUCUCAGUUCGGAUUGGAGGCUGCAACUCGCCUCCAUGAAGUCGGAAUCGCUAGUAAUCGCGGAUCAGCACGCCGCGGUGAAUACGUUCCCGGGCCUUGUACACACCGCCCGUCACACCACGAGAGUUUGUAACACCCGAAGUCGGUGAGGUAACCUUUUAGGGGCCAGCCGCCUAAGGUGGGANGGAUGAU